rnacentral:rRNA from 1 species
UNUGACUUGAGUGCAGAAGGGGAGAGUGGAAUUCCAUGNGUAGCGGUGAAAUGCGUAGAUAUAUGGAGGAACACCAGUGGCGAAAGCGGCUCUCUGGUCUGUCACUGACGCUGAGGCUCGAAAGCGUGGGUAGCGAACAGGAUUAGAUACCCUGGUAGUCCACGCCGUAAACGAUGAGUGCUAGGUGUUAGGCCCUUUCCGGGGCUUAGUGCCGGAGCUAACGCAAUAAGCACUCCGCCUGGGGAGUACGACCGCAAGGUUGAAACUCAAAGGAAUUGACGGGGGCCCGCACAAGCGGUGGAGCAUGUGGUUUAAUUCGAAGCAACGCGAAGAACCUUACCAGGUCUUGACAUCCCGAUGCUAUUCUUAGAGAUAGGAAGUUACUUCGGUACAUCGGAGACAGGUGGUGCAUGGUUGUCGUCAGCUCGUGUCGUGAGAUGUUGGGUUNNNNNNNNCAACGAGCGCAACCCUUAUUGUUAGUUGCCAUCAUUAAGUUGGGCACUCUAGCGAGACUGCCGGUAAUAAACCGGAGGAAGGUGGGGAUGACGUCAAAUCAUCAUGCCCCUUAUGACCUGGGCUACACACGUGCUACAAUGGUCGGUACAACGAGUUGCGAGCCGGUGACGGCAAGCUAAUCUCUGAAAGCCGAUCUCAGUUCGGAUUGGAGGCUGCAACUCGCUUCCAUGAAGUCGGAAUCGCUAGUAAUCGCGGAUCAGCACGCCGCGGUGAAUACGUUCCCGGGCCU